rnacentral:lncRNA from 1 species
GGGCCGAGGCGGCGUCCGAAAAUCGCGAGAUUGGAUUCCGAGUAUCGUAACGAGAAAUCGAAGACCCUUAAUUUUCGAAUCGCGAAUCGGAGGUCGUUCGGUGGUCGCGAGUGGAUUGGGUCGAGCCGAGCGGCGUGCGCCGUGGGAAACCAAUUGCGAGUGGCGACGAGCAAUCAGAACGUGAUAGAAGGUGGGUAGUGACCAUCCCGAAACAGUUGAACUGCUCCCUAUGUCUAAGUAUUAUUAUUGAUCGAAUUGCAUAUUGCGCAUGAUACAUUAUAGGGUGCAUGAUUAGUCAAUACAUGUUCUUGUAUGCUAGGGGUAGUGUGAUGUUGUUUGCUUAACAUUUGAGCCUAGUGUGCAUGGGAUUGAGAGAUGUUGAUUAGUAACCCUAUAAUGAGAUGAUACAUAAUGGAUUGGAACCUAGGUAAAUGAUAACUUAGUGAUUAUGUACAAGUAAUGGAUUGGGAACACUUAAACAAGAAUGAGUGUCAUCUAGUUAGUGUUGAACACAAGGAACGGGUGGCAUUGGACUAGUGUAAUUAUUAUGCAUAAUAGGGUAUUAAACAAUCGCAUUUCCAUUAAUUCUUGCAUGAUCCUUAGUAGUGCAGCAACAUGAGUUUGGCACUUGACUUAGGAUGCAUGAGAAUAGGGGAAUUGUGACCUGGAACCCUAUAGUGGUAAAGUAAAUGACGGACUUAACCUUGUGUUAACGAGAGUGAAAGAACGAGUGGCAUCUAAAUAGUAUGAAAACUAUCACGAGUGGCAUGAUGAACUAGAGUGUAGGUGAAACACUAUUGCAUGUUGAACUUAGAGAUGAACUAGUUCCCAAGUGAUGUUGUCUAUAGUGGCAGGGUAUCCUCAGUGUCGAGGAUUUGAUCAUAUUCACAUGUCUGUUCAAAGCUUGGGGUGGUCGCUCCACACAAGCAGUGCACUCCGGAGUUGUCACAUGAUAGAGAUAGCCUUUUUGGGUCCCGAGGGGUAAGCCUUUUUGGGCCCCGCAGACAGUGUCGGGUGAGUGAGUAGAUUCUCACCUUGAGUGAGCGGUUCCUCACCUACGGUUGGAUUGUGAGUCGGGCGAGUGAGCGGAUCCUCCCCGUAGAGAGUAGAUUGUGAGUCGGAUGAGUGAGCAGAUUCUUACUUUGAGUGAGCGGUUCCUCACCUACGGUUGGAUUGUGAGUCGGACGAGUGAGCAGAUCCGCCCCGUAGAGAGUAGAUCGUGAGUCGGGCGAGUGAGUGGAUCCUCCUCGUAGAAAAUGGCAUCGUUGUUCGACAUAGUAGCAUGGUAGCUAGCCUUAUACUAUGUAGUGCAUGCAUUCAUAGCAUUGGAUUGAGGCAUAGUAGGAUAUUUGCAUUUCUACUUGUUGUAGUUGCUGUUUCAUAUAUAGCUAUAUAUCUAUCUAUCUUGUUGUCUUCCUAUGCCUGCUUAGACCUAGUUGGGAGAUCGGCGGAGUCAGCGGCCGAACCCACUGGGAGCUAUUCGUAGUUCUCACCCCACUUUGUUGCAGGGCCGAGUGCGAGUGCGCCAGCUGAGGAUCGUGGUUAGGGCUUUGCGCCCUAGUGUUGAUAGUUUACUUUUCUUUUGUAUUAGAGCUACCCUAUGUACUUGAGAGCAGAUGAUGUAUUGGGUGAGAUGAGUCGGAGAAUUGUAAACUUUAUGUUUAUAUUUUGGAAAAAAUGUAAAGUUAAUCAAUGUAUUAAAGUUGAAUGGUUGUAAUAAUUAGUAUCUCUCUUUUAUUCACUUGUUUAUUACUUGUGAUGCAUGUUCUUGAUUGUUUAGCACUGGUUGUGCUCUCGCUGUUGUUGUUUGAUUGUGUAUGUAUUCAAGUAUUUUUCUGGGCACUUGUUGUACAUAAUCGUGUUGUUUAGCCUUGGGCGGACAGGGGAGGUUCUGUCCGUCCGGCGUCUGUUCGACGCGCCCGAACCGGACCAAAUUGGUAGCAGGUUCAGGGCGUGACAAGAACGCUUUGGGCGGAGCAACGGCUCGCUUAAAUACUAGCAGAGUGCGAAGUCGGGGACAAGAAUAGAUAGAAGAAACGGAUGGCUAGCGGCACCGGGGACCGUCGAGAUUCAAGAAACCCUUGAAGUAUCCAUGGGGACCGUUAAAGAACCAUGGACCUUCUCUAUGAUGCCUCAACUUCCCAGGGAGUCACCCAUCCUGGGACUACUCAUAUCCUAGCACGCUUAACUCUCUUAAUGUCACGCCCCGCGACCGCUACCAAUUUGGCUCGGCCCGGGCGCGUCGAACAGACGCCGGACGGACAGCACCUCCCCUGUCCGCCUAAGGCUAACGACGAGAUUGUGUACAACAAGUUCCCAGGAAAACACUUGAAUACAUACACAAUCAAACAACAACAACGAAAGCACAAACAGUGCUAAACAAUACAAGAACAAGCAUCACAAGUAAAAGACAUACAAGUGAAACAAAAGAGAGAUACUUAACUAUUCUAUUACAACCAUUCAACUUUAAUACAUUUAAUUACAACUUUACAUUUCUUCCAAAAUAUAAACAUAAAGUUUACAAUUAUCUCAAAAUACAUCUCACCCAAUACAUCAUCUACUCUCAAAGCAUACAAAAGGUAACUCUAAUGCACAAAUAGAAAAGUAAACUAAUGCAACACUAGGGCGCAAAGCCCUAACCACGAUCCUCAGCCGUGCGAACUCGCACUCGGCCCUGCAACAAAAUGGGGGUGAGAACUAACUUCAAUAGCUCCCAGUGGGUUCGGCCGCCGACUCCGCCGAUCUCCCAACUAGGUCCAAGUCAGGCACAAGAAGACAACAAGAUAGAUAGAUAUAUAGCUAUAUAUGAAACAGCAACUACAACAAGUAGAAAUGCAAAUAUCCUACUAUGCCUCAAUCCAAUGCUAUGAAUGCAUGCACACCAAUGAAGUAGGUAAGCAACUAACCUGUUAUCAUGUCCAAAGGUGAAGCUAUUCACUCAUUCAUUAACCUCAUUCACUUGUUCAUUAAUCUCAUGGCUUACCCGAAGGCUCGCCUACAGCUCACUAGCCAUCUCGAAACGUAGGGAGAAUUCACUCACACUACGGACCCGAGACCGUCUGGCGGGGCCAUAUAGGCAAUCCCUGGCGUGACCAACAUCCGGAGCGCACUACUUGUGUGGGGCUUCCAUCACAAGAUUUAACAGACUGUGAGCAUGAUCCCAUCCUCUAAGCUUGAGGAUACCCUGUCCUCUAGGGUCACAAACAUCAUAUAGUCCAUAGGUUUCAUAUACACUAUGACUCACAUAUGUGUCAUUUGUUCUUUUGCUUACUAUCAACUAGAUGCCACUCGUUCUUUACAAGUUUCCAAUGCAAUAGUCAACUAGAUGCCACUCGUUCUUUACAAGUUUCCAAUGCAAUAGCCAACUCAUUACUAAAUUCCCAUCCACACUUAUCAUCUCAUUAUAGGGUUCCACAUCACAUAUAUAAACCUCAAGCAUGCUAGAUAUAAGUACUAAGCCAAAUACAUUAUUCUACCAAAGAACAUGCAAGGUAUAGAACCAAACCCUCAUUUAUCACCCUAUAAUGCAAGAUGUCAAUAUGCAAUUUGAUCAAUAUAAACUUAGACAUAAAAGGGAGCCCGAUUGCUUCGGGAUGGACACCACCCACCUUUUAUAGCGUUCCGAUUGCUCGUCGUCACUCGCAAUCGGCCUCCUGCGGCGCACGCCGCACGGCUCGACCCAACUGACGCGCGACUGCCAAAUGACCUCCUAUCCGCGAUCCGUCUGUUCUGGAGUUUAUUCCCCGACACCACGAUGCUACGAUUCCAUUUCCAAGAUUUUAGGAAGCUUUCGCCGCGAGCUGCGGCAAUCUGUACCGAAAUCGGCUUCUUCUUCGAUAUCUUCGUAACGGCUCGACGGAUUGCCAAACCGUCGCUUCCAUCGCGUUCAGUGACCUAUCAAUUAGGUUUACAGAGUGUUAAAAGAGAUCAAACCCUCCUGUGAAUCAAAUCGCCAUUUUGGAGCCCUAGAUUUGUACUACGGCAAAAUCCACCAAAUUGAUCUCCCAUUCUUGCAACAAACGUCUAUUAAGCUUGCUAGAAUUCAUCUAAAUCCAAUUCUAGAGCAAAAGGCUCAAGCCCUAGAGAUCUACCAUUGAAGGGGUUAGCAAGCUUACCUCUUAAGCUAGCACAACGGAGAGGAGAAGAUGAGAAGAUGAAGCUCCACCUUGUUUGCUUCCUUCUUCACCAUCUUCUUCUUCUUCUUCCUCUUCUUGUUCUUCUCUUCUCCUCUUUCUUCUUCUCUUUCUUUUCUUUCUUCUUCACGUUAGAGAGGGAGAGAGAGAGGUGUUUUGAGUGAAGGAAAUGAGAGAAAGAGAGAAAGACCCUCUCUAUACACUCUCAUUAGUGCAAAAUUGCAUAAAAGCCCCUCAACAAAGCUUCCCUCGCAACAGCCCAAACUGGGCCAUUUUCGCGCUCGGGGACCGGUCCUUGCGGUGAGAGACCGGUCCCUGAGAGACCGGUCCUUGCGGUGAGAGACCGGUCCCCGAAGGUCCAGUACUCAGCCUCAAGGACUUAGCCAAAUUUCAGCCUUUUUCACCGUUUCUUCUCCGUUUUCGCCCGUUUUCGCUCGUUUGACCUCCGAUUCGUUUCAAAUCGAACCGAGACUCUUCAAACAUGUUUCCAAACAUGUUUUCAUCAUCUUUCCAUCCACGCUAAUGCCGGAUUUAUCUCACGGCCCAACAUAGCCUUUCGGCUCCGUUUUAGCGCCUACGCGCACCGAAACGCCCGAAUGCCUCCGGGCCUCAUCGAACUUCACCGGAACCUUUCAAAUGGUCUUCCAACCAAAUGUACACCGUAACUUCAUGAUUUUAGAAGUCCGAUACCUUACACCUAACCUUUUGGACCUAGCCACCGCCCAAAAUGCUUUAGCUAAAUUAAGAAUUUUAGCCCUAUUAUAUCUUAUAUAUAAGACUACCUAGGGUCUCUCACAUUCUCCUCCCUUACCCUGACGUCCUCGUCAGGCUCAGACGCACAAGUAUCAGGCGAUGUGAGACUUGUCUCGCUAGUCUAAACUGACCUUGUGGUGAGCUACACUCCACCCACAACAGUCAACAGUAUGGGAGCCUCACUCUCCCCGCUGUAUAAUCCUAGCUCAGCUCAGACUCGUCUCAUACUUCCAGCUCGUAAUUGGCUCUAAUACCAACUGUGACGCCCCAACUUCCCAAGGAAUCACCCAUCCUAGGACUACUCCCGUCCUAGCACGCUUAACUAUCUUAACCUCUUGGGCAUAGCCAUCAUCCAAAAUGCUUUAGCUGGGUUAAGAGUUUUAGCCCUAUUAUAUCUUAUAUAUAGAACUACCUGGGGUCUCACAAUAUAGAUAGCAAUUAACAACGCAUCUUCCCAAAAUCUUAUAGGUAGAUUUGUCUAUGUCAUCAUUUACCUAACCAUGUCUAGCAGAGUACGAUUCCCAUGUUUAGUAACACCAUUUUGCUGCGAUGUGCCAGGAAUAAUUUGUCUGUGAAUGCCCUUUUCUCGCAAAAUGUCUUGAACUGAUCAGACAAAAACUCGCAACCACGAUAACUGUGAAGCACCUUCUUCUUUCUAACUGAUUCUCAAUCUCUGCAACAAAGAAUUUGAAGUAAUCUUGUCACGCCCCGAGCCCCGCCUAUUUGGUCAGGUUCGGGCACGCCGACAGACCGCCGAACGGACAGAGUUUUCCCUGUACGUCCUAGUCGUCGCAAUCGAUACAAUUACCAGAGGUUCUAACCAGGAACAGUACUCAACAAGCAGAUUGCAUAAGGAAGUAUCAAAACAUAACAGCUAAGCUAUUACAAGCAUUCACAUAAAUGCUUUUACAUUCCAAUUCAAAUUCUUUUCAUCCAAAUGCAAUCUAAGUUAUUACAAUUUACUUAUUACAAUUUGAUACAUUUGAUCUCUUCAUCUCUAUACCCCUAGGAUAUGUCGACUCGGGAUACUGCUAUCUCUGGUCUCUGGGGUAGGGCGCUAUCUACGGAGCUACGCCCUUGCCUCGCGCCGCCGCGCCGCUCAAGUGCGAACCUGUAACACCCCAAAACAACGUGGGGUGAGAACCAACUCCAUGGUUCCCAGUGGGUACAGCCAUCUAAGGGAAAAGCUCGACCAACAGGUCAAAAGGAGGCAACAACAGGUUAGUUCAAUAAACAGAUAGAUAUAUAUUUUAAUUAUGCAACUAACAAUACCAUGCUUUGCCUCAUGAAUGUAAUAAUGCUAUGCUAUAUGCAAUCAUGCAAGAAUACAAUGCAACAUCUCAAGUAGAUCACUCGAUUCUACUUCUAUCUUGCUAUCUCGCUCAGGUCCAACUAACCUCUAAGGUUUCUAUUACCUUAGAUCCAUUACAUUACCACUAGCCCCUAAUGUUCCAUCUACUUUAUUCAAGCUAGCGAUCCGACUCGGCCUUGAGUCAAUCAACUGCGGAUAAUCCGCGCUCUGUCCUCGAGGUGAAAGAACCCUCACUUGCACUUCAGCCUUCAAUCCAUAGUCACGUCGCCCAACGGGUCGCCCAGAGCUACGUACACCCGUGGUCAGGGAUCUUUCCGGUAGAAGGGGGAACAUGCCACACUCGACCUGCAGUCCGAGACCCCCGAUAGGGAGGGAAACAUGCCACACACCCUAGCGAAGCACGAUUCUGCCGACGGGAGGGGGAACCUGUCACACUUGACCCGCGGCCUCGAAUUAAUCAACAGCUCAUCCUCGAAGUUCGUCCAAUGGGAGGGGGAACAUGCCACACUCGACCCACUGCUCUAGAACUAUCAAGUUCACAAUCCUAGGAUUCCCGAAUCUACUUUCCAAGCCUCUAGGGUAGUCUCAAACCCUAUAAUAUCGACCUCUCUAGGUCCAAUGCACUUUCCACCCUAGGUCUAGCUGACUCUAGGUUUAAUGCCCUUAUCACAUAACCUAGGCUCAUUCAAUUCUAGGUUCAAUCCACAACCUAUGCUCUUUAAACUAGGUUAAUGCCUCUCUACCUAGAUCUUAUUAACUCUAGGUUCAACAACACUAGGUUCGAUAUCAACCUAUGUUUACCAACACUAAUUUUGAUAUCAAUCUACCUAGAUCUUGAUUCUAGGUUCACUCUGUUCAACCUAUAUUCACGACACUAGGUUAAUGCCACUCGAUCUACCCUAAGUCCACGACACUAGGUUAAAUGCCACACCUCUCUGACCUAGGUUCACAACACUAGGUUUAAAUGCCACAUGCCUAUUUACAUAAUCUAGCAUAUAUAUUCUAUGAUGCCAACAUUAUCAACAUGCAUAAUACAUUUCGCAUUUUCUCAUUAUGUCACUAUGCAUUAUCAUCUAGCAAUAUACUCACAUCGUUCACAUGCCUCAUAAACUCAUAUAAUUAACGAUAUGUUUACAUUACUCUAUAUGCUCUAGCAUGCUCUAGUACAUGUCAACAUGAAUCUAUGCAUUAGCCUGUAUUCUCAAUGCAUCAACAUGCAAUUAUCCACUAGCAUAUAUUCUAUUACUUGCUCUAGCAUGCUCUACAAUGCCAUCAUGCCCGUACAUAUGCGUCAACAAGAACUCGUAGUUCACUUUGACAUGUAGGCGACCUAGUCGCUUCGGUAAGCACAACCCACCUGUUAUCGCAUUCCGAUUGCUUGUAGUCACUUGCAAUCGGCCGCCCGCGGCACCCACUAUCCGACUCGGCCCGAACUCGCAAUUGCGCACCAACCGUGCGUUGCUUCGCAGCCCCGAAAAUUAUAUGUAAGGUACCGGACUUCUAAAACUAUGAGAUUACGGUGUACAUUUGGUUGGAAGACCAUGCGAACGGUUUCGGUGAGGUCCCGGUGAGGUCCGGAAGUAUUCGGACGUUUUCGAUGCGCGUAGGCGCUAAAACGGAGCCGAAAGGCCAUGUUGGGCCAUGAGCCAAAUCCGACUUUAGCGUGGAUGAAAAGAUGAUGAAAACACGCUUGAAAAUACAUUUGGAGAGUCUCGGUUCGAUUUGAAAAGAAUCGGAGGUCAAACGAGCGAAAACGGAGCUAAAACGGGAAAAAUGCUGAAAUUUGGCUAAGUCCUAAAAAUGCUGGAAUUCUGGACCUUCGGGGACCGGUCUCUCACUGCCAGGGACCGGUCCCCUAUACAAAAAUGGGCCCCCGCGGGGGCAAUGCAGUAUACAUAAAGUUGAGGAGUCUAUUUGCACUUGUAACAUCAUUAGAGUGCAUAUGAGCCAUAGAGAGCUCAUUUGCUCUCUCCCUUUCACUAUGCAAACCUAAAAGAAGACCUCUCUCUCUCUCUCAAGCUCUUCUCUCUCUCUCUACAAGGUGGAUCUUGGAGGAGGAUUUGGUGGAGAAGAAGUAAAGGAGAAGGAUCAUCAUCUUCAUCUUCUCCUUCUUGGCCAUUGGAGUUAGCACAUAGAGGUAAGCUUGAUGCUUAUUAAUGGUAGAUCUCUAGGGCUUGAAUCUCUUGCUCUAUAAUUGGUUUUAGUGAACCUCUUUGAUGCUAAAUAGAUGAUUAGAGCUUGAAUCUAAAGCUCUAAUGGUGGAUUUUUGUCUAGUAGCAAAGCUAGGGUUCAAAAUGGGAUUUUUGUAAAUACUUGGGUUUGAUCUAAAUUGAGUGGUUGUAAACCUAAUUGCUAGGUAUUCUGACGCGUUGGCGAAGUCGGUUCGUCGAUUCGUCGAGCGAGUGCGAAGAUAUUGAAGAAAAGGCUUGUUGAGGUACAGAUUGCCGCAGCUCGCGGCGAAAGCUUCCUAAAAUCACGAAAUCGGAAUCGCGGGCUCGUGGCAUCACCUAAAGGUGGGGGGUGUCCAUCCGAAGCAAUCGGGCUUCCUUCUAUGUCCGAGUUAGAUUUUUGGUCAUAUUGCACAUAUGGUUCUUAUGCAUUGUAGGAUGUAUGUAUUAUUACAUUUCUACUUUCCUUGCAUGCAUGUCUAGUUGUGUAGUAUUAUGGAUUUGACACCUAAAUCUAGAAUGCGUGAGGAUUAGGAUUGUGACAUGAGAUCCUAUGAUGAUAAGAGAAUAGAGAACUUGGACUUGAUGAUGAAAACUAGUGACAUGUGAACUAAUAUAUAGAAAACAUUUAUAACUUGGACGAGUGGCAUGUAGAUAAUGUUAAAUACAUGACGAGUGGCAUCGGAACCUAGUUGUGGCAUAUUGCAUGAAAACCUAGUUUAGAGAACAGAGGUGGCAUAUGAACCUAGUGUUAUUAAAACAUAGGUCGGAUGUGAACCUAGGAUUGUUGAACCUAGAGUUAAUAAUACCUAGAUGAGUGGUACUUGAACAUAGUGUAAAGAAACACUUGGCGUGGAACAUAGGGAUUAGUGGAGUUUCCCUAGUUAUGAUACAUUGCAUGAUAAUUGUACACUACGGCAUUGAACUUAGGGAUAGUUGGAUUCCCUAGUGUGAUUUAAUUAGUAUGGUUGAGACACUUGACAUGGACUUAGGGAUAGGUGGACUUUCGAGUGUUUGUUAACCCUAGUUGACAGGAUAUCCUCAGUUGGCGAGGAUUGGAUCAUACUCACAUAGUCUGUUUUGAGCUUGUGGUGGUCGCUCCACACAAGCAGUGCACUCCGGAGUUGUCACACGAGCGGGGUAGCUCAUCGGGUGGGAUACGAGCGGGGUAGCUCCUCACCCAUUGGACUGGGACGUGAGUUGGGGUGAAGGGCGGGGUAGCCUUUCCCCUAUGAGAUUGAGCGGGGCAGCUCAUUAUCUAUGAGAUUAGAGCGGGGUAGCUCUUCAUCUAUGACCUUUGAGAUGCGAGACGGGUGAGAUAAGAGCGGGGUAGCUCCUCACCUAUGAGAUUUGAGAUAUCAGUCGGGGCGAAGAGCGGGGUAGCUCUUUACCUCUUCACCUACUAGAUUGUGGUGUGAGUACCUAUGAGAUUUGAGAUCUUAGGCGGGGUAGCCUAGUGGAUUGGGUAAUAACAUGAAUAACAUAAGUGGAUUUGCAUUCAUCCCCUGAUUAAACAUAGUAUAUGUUAGUGGAUUGCAUAACUAUGUUGUAUUUGUAUUCAUUACAUUGUUAAAGCAUAUUAUCAUGAUAGUAGGCUUAUUGCUAGACGAUAUUUCAUGCAUUGCUUGCAUUUGAUGGCACAAUAGAUCAUAGUUGCAGUUCAAUAUCUAUCUAUCUCUCUAUCUAUCUAUUUGUGCCAGCUUAGACCUAGUGGGAAGAUCGGCGGAGUCGGCGGCCGAACCCACUGGGAACUAUAUUUUUAUAGUUCUCACCCCGUGUGGUUUUGGGGUACAGGUACACACGUGAGCGGACCGGCAGGUGAUCGCGGUAAGGGCGUAGCGCCCUAGCUAGCUAGUAGAGCUUUCCUAUUGUACUAGAGCACCCUCGUGUGCAUGGUUAUAGAUGACAUGAUGUAUUUGGGAUAGCUAGCAUUAUAUAUAUGUGAGAUGAUUAUGUAUUCAUUUUGGAAGCUUAAAUGUAAUCAAGUUGUAUUAAAGGUUGAAUGAAUGUCAAAUGUGAUGUAAUAGCCAGUUUAUAUCUCUCUUCUAUUUCACUUGUAUAUUUAUUACUCGUAAUGCUUGCUCUUGGUUGUUCAGCACUGUUUGUGCUCUCUCUAUUGUUGUUUGAUCAUGUAUGUAUUCAAGUUGAUUUCCUGGAAACUUGUUGUACACCAUCGCGUUGUUUAGCCUUGGGCGGACAGGGGAGGUGCUGUUCGUCCGGCGUCUGUCUGACGCGCCCGAACUGGACCAAAUUGGUAGCGGUCUCGGGGCGUGACAUUAUAGGUCUUCGGUUAUGUGCUACGGUGCUCGGAAUCCAACUUCAUAAUUUUCGGACGUCGCCUCGGCCCUCCAAGCGGAAACGAAGCUCCGAACGUCCGUUUUCCCUAUAACUUCGCGUAGGCUCGACGAAUCAUCGAACCGACUUCGCCAACGCGUUCGUGUACUUAGCAAUUAGGUUUGGUUAAUUUAGAUCAAACCCCAACACAUAGCAAAACCUCCAUUUGAACCCUAGAUGCUCACUAUUGCAAAAAUCCACUAUUUGGACUCUAGAUUUAAGCAAUUAACAUCUAUUUAGUAUCCUAGGAUUCAUCUAAAUCCAUUUAUAGGGUAUACAAACCGUUCUCUAGCAAUCUACCAUUAUUGGACAACAAGCUUACCUCAAUAAGCUAGCUUCAACCCAAGGAAGAAGAUGGAGAAGGUGAAGCUUCACUUCCUUUGCUUCUUCUCCACCAAUCCCUCUCCUCCUUUCCUUCCUUGAUGAGAGAGAAAGAGGGUUUAGAGAGAGAGAGCUAGAGAGAGAGCUAGGGUUGAGGGAAAGUAAGAAAGAGAGAGAGCCAUCGCCUCUCUUUAUCUCCCACUCAUGCAACAAGUGGAACUAACCCCCUCAACUUUUAGCUUCACCAAUAGCCCGAAAUGGGCAUUUUUCGCUCUCGGGAUCUGGACCUUGGAGUCAGGGUCCGGACCCCGUAGGUCCCGAAAAACUGCAAAUUUCAGCUUUCGCUGAUUUCGCUCCGUUUUGGUCCGUUUUCACUCCGUGGGUCUCCGAUUCACUUCUAAUCGAACCGAGACUAUCCAAACAUGUUUUCGAGCGUAAUUACAUCAUCUUUUUAUCCACGCUAAUGCCGGAUUUAGCUCAUGGCCCAACAUAGCCUUUCGGGUUUCGUUUUCGCGCCUACGCACUCCGGAAACGCCUUAAUGCUUUCGAACUUCACCGGAACCAUUCCAAUGGCUCUCCAACCAAAUGUACGCCGUAACUUCAUAAUUUUAGAAGUCCGGUACCUUACAAAUCUAAUCUUUAAUCUUAAGAACGAUAAAAAAUCAGGUUCACGUAGUCAUAACGAGAAUAAUCAUAAGUGAAUAUGAGAAAAUAUCUAACUCCUUGCUAGGCCCUCACAUUCAUUGGCCCACAAAUGUCUGAAUAAAUCAAAUCUAAAGCAUGGGCAGUAUACGGCUUUACCAAAAGGCUUCUACAUGCCUUUCCCGCCAGACAAGAUUAGUACACAGCUAGAUCAAUCUUGACAACAGACUCAAACAGGCCUACUCUAGCCAGUCGAUUCAUUUGAUCUUGACCUUUAUGGCCUAAUUUGUCAUCCUAUUUGACGAAUACAACACACGAAUUAUCAUCAGAAGAAGUAGUAACUAAUGCAAGUGGAUUGUUCAUUAAAUCCAAUCUAAAGAAGUCAUCAAUAAAUGUACUAUGUCUAAAGAAAGUACUAUUAAACAAACUAGUAAGGUGGUCACUAUCAAAAAGAAAUGAAUAUACUAAACUCAACAAAACUGAAACUAAUACUAGAUUACACUGAAUUCCAAGAGCGCAUAGCAUGUCUUGAAGAAGUAAAGUGUGGCCAUUGUGCAACUUGAGCUAGUACUGUGAGGUACCGGACUUCUAAAACUAUGAAGUUGCGGUGUACAUUUAAAUGGUUCCGGUGAGGUUGCGGUGUAAUGUAAUAUACCGGAUUUAGAUAUAGAAAUAAGUGUAAAUAAAAAUAGUGUUAUGAGAUGGGCUAAGGUAUAAUUGUGCAAAUGAGAGGGGCUAAGGUGUAAUGGUGCAAGUAAUUGAGCUUACUUGGAGGGCAAGUUUUCUAUGUACCUAUGUAAAUGAGUUUACUUGUUGGGCAAGUUUCCUAUGUAAUUGAGUGAAUCCUUGCCUUUUUCCCCAAACCGUAGGAGAGAGAGAGGAUGGAUUUUCUCUCUUUUUCUCUUUGACUUUAUGACCUCUCUUUCUCUUUGGUUCUCUUUACCAAAGAGAGGAUUAGAGAAGAAAGAAAAUUGAGGCAAGCUUGAAGAAAAUUGAAGUAGCUUGGAGUUGAAGCUUCAUCUUUAUCUUCUCCUUCCUUGGUCUAAGUGGAAGCUUGUGUUGAGGUAAGCUUCAUGAACCUCUAAUGGUGGAUUGCUAGGGAAUAAUAUAUAUAUCCUAGAAAUGGAUUUAGAGGACUCCCUAGAUGCUAAGUAAAAGCUAUUUGCUUGAAUUAAAGGCUAAUAUGGCUAUUCUUGCAAUAGUAGCAUAUUAGGGCUUCAAAAUGGGAUUUUUGUAAAUGAGGGGUUUUGAUCUAAAUUGAGUGGUCAGAAACCUAAUUGCUAUGUCUCCGAAUGCGUAGGAAGCGACGGUUUGUCGAUUCGUCGAGCCGGUGAGAAGUUAUUAAAGAAAUAGACGUUUAGGCUUCGUAUCCGCCUGGAGGGCCAAGGCGGCGUCGGAAAAUCGUGGAAACGGAUUAGAAGCAUCGUGACAAGAAACCGAAGACCUUUAAUUUCCGGAUCGCGGAUCGGAGGUCAUUUGGUGGUCGUGCGUGGUUUGGGUCGAGCCGAGCGGCGUGCGCCGCGGGAGGCCGAUUGCGAGUGGCGACGAGCAAUCGGAACGCGAUAAAAGGUGGGGGAGUGCCAUCCCGAAGUCAUCGGGCUUCUUCCUAUGUCUUAGUACUUAUCCAUUCACAUGUAGCAUAUUGUAUACCGAUACCUUGCAUUAUAGGAUGACAAUAUAUGCAUUCCUAAUCCUUAUAUGAUGUUUAUGAUCAAUAUAGUAUUAUGAUAUGGAUAUAUGAUGUGAUGGACAUAAGGAUUAUGAGGUGACAUUGGUAAACCUAUGAUGCUAAAUGAAAGAAGAACCUAGUGUUGUGUUUAAAGACAUAGUUUACAAGUGGCAUUGAACUCAUUGUGCUAAAAACACAUAUGACUUGAGCUAGUAAUGGAUUGGUUGUUGCACUAGAAACUCUAGUAACAUUGAUCAAGUUGCAUAUUGGGAUAUUGCAUUAUAGGGUACUAGUUGGCAAUUGUUACAUGUCAUGGCAUGCUAGUGAGAGUGUAGUGUUACUUGAUUAAUACUUGUACCUAGUAUGCAUGAGAUUGGGACUUAGUGUGGUGAAACCCUAUAAGGGCAUGAUUAAUGUGGAUUAAACUUUGUUAAGUGCAUUAAUCGAUUAAGUUGCAUAUUGUAUUUAUUGCAUUUAGAUGCUAAAUGAUUGUGGUCAUUGCUCAUAUUUGCAUGCUAGUAGCUAUACAUCUUGAUGAUUGAUUCAUGAUCUAGUAUGCAUGAUGAUUAUAUGAUGAAAACCUUAUGAUAAAGACCUAGACCCUAUGUGAGAUAAUUAAUGCUUAUGUUGCUAAAGAACUAGUAUGAUGUAACUGGUGUUGAAAUGAGUCUAAAUGACGAGUGGCAUCUAGUUUAGAAAACUAUGAUGAGUGGCAUAUGAUUGUUGAUAACCUUGACAUGAGAACCUUAGUGUAGUUGAAACACUAUGAGAUUGGGUACAAGAACACCUUGAUUCCAUGAUGAGAUUACCCUUAGAGGGUAGGUUGAUGUUGUUCGUGAGUUGAUCAUGCUCACAUAGCCUGUCUGCGCUUGGUUUGGGGUCGCUCCCCACAAGCUGUGCACUCCGGAGGUUGGUCACUCGAGGGACAGUCUGUGUGCUGUCUGGACGGUCUGUGUGCUGUCCGCAGGCGGUCUCGGGAUGUAGUUCUGUGAGACUUUUCCCCUAUGAGACUUACACGUGAGAUAUGCUUGUGAACCCGUGUUCACUUUGAGAUUGGGUUACCUAUUGAGCCAUACCCAUUGUUGUUGUUCAUGAUAGCUUGCUUCCAUAGUUGUUGUUGUUGAUCAUAGUUGCCUUUGGCUUACCGGCUGAUUGGGUGGUCUAAUGAAUAGCCCUAUUGAUGAGCCUAGUGGUAUGGUAGUUAACCUUCACUAGACUUACCUUGAUAGCGAAAAUAGUCGCUUGGUAGUUGCUUAGACGGGAUUUUGCCUAUAUACAGUGAGUGGUAUACUAUCCUGUCGCGCUAUGAGAUAUUGAGUGGAUAAAUUCCUGUACCUAGUUUUGGAUUUGAGUCGGCAAAGUGCGGGUAGCCUUUGCCUAGGACCUAGAGAUGUGAGUCGGGCGAGAGGCGGGGUAGCCUCUUUGCCUGGGACUCACGAGAUUGGGUCAGACCUUUGAGAUAUGAGUCGAGUGAGACAAGAAUGAGGUAGCUUUUCACCUACUAGAUUUGAGAUCUUAGGCAAAGUAGCCUAGCGGAUUGGGUAAUAACAUGAAUACCAUAAGAGUAUAGCAUUCAUACCAUGAUUAGACAUAGUGCAUUGCAUAACUAUGUUAUAGUUGUAUUCAUUUCACUGUUGAGGCAUAUUAGCGUGUUAGUAGAUUGUUGCUAGAUGAUGUUCCAUGCAUGCUUUGCAUUUGAUGGCAUAGUAGAUAUAGUAGCAGUUAUUUCUAUUUAUAUUUCUAUCUAUCUAUCUGUGCCAGUUUGGACCUAGUGGGAAGAUCGACGGAGUCGGCGGCCGAACCCAUUGGGAACUAUAUUUAUAUAGUUCUCACCCCGUGUGGUUUUGGGGUAUAGGUACACACGAGAGCGGACCGGCAGAUGAUCGCG